GUGGCACCGACCUCGGCGCCAUAUCGCCCGCGGCCGCCUGUCCUCUCUCUGCAACUCGUUCAUUCUUCCUGCUCGCGCCCUCCUCUUUGUGCCCGCCGCCGGCGUCACCUCCGACCGCUGCUUGUUGGGCGCCCCACCCCUCCACCCCCUCUUCCGCGCGCCAGCCUCCUCUCUCGGCUCCGCCCGUCGCCGGCCGCACCACUUCCCGGAGGCGAGCGCUGCCCCCGCCUCCUCCUCCGCGCUCUCGAGCAGGCCGGCGCUCGCCGCCCGCGCCUCCUCCUCCGCGCGCGCCAGCACGCCGGCGCUCGCCGCCCCCGCCUCGUCCUCCGCGCGCGCAAGCAGGCCGCGCAUCUAGCCGGCACUCGCACGACCUCCUCCACCCGGCGCCCGGCUCGAAGGCCCCCUCGCAAGGCCCGAGCACCAGGACAAGAUCUCCAUCACCUUCGAUUUCACCACAGCCAGGGUAGUGAUGACUGAGGAAGAAUUCUGGACCGAUUAGGCCUUGCCACAUCAGGGAAGCAUACAAAAGACUGAAGCUUGAAGGGAAGAUAGCACGACGAUCUGAUCCUAGUUCCUAGGCUCUUCGGUUAGAGAAGCAUCUCCGUUGAUAUCAAUCAACUAGCUGUGGAACCAUGGCCAUUCAGUUGCCAUGUAACUGCAAGUAUCAUCUUACAUUGAGGGGGAAAUGCUGUGUAUAAAGUAAAGCUACGAUUAUUAGCUAAGUGUACUGUAUUUUGACCAUCGAACAAAUUAUAUGUACCAUUCAGGUGUAUUUAAAUAUCAUUCAUGUUUGAGGUCCAAAAGAAGCAGAGGUAUAGCUUGCUACA